GAUGAACGCUGGCGGCGUGCCUAAUACAUGCAAGUCGAGCGAAUGGAUUAAGAGCUUGCUCUUAUGAAGUUAGCGGCGGACGGGUGAGUAACACGUGGGUAACCUGCCCAUAAGACUGGGAUAACUCCGGGAAACCGGGGCUAAUACCGGAUAACAUUUUGAACCGCAUGGUUCGAAAUUGAAAGGCGACUUCGGCUGUCACUUAUGGAUGGACCCGCGUCGCAUUAGCUAGUUGGUGAGGUAACGGCUCACCAAGGCAACGAUGCGUAGCCGACCGGGGAGGGGGAUCGGCCACACUGGGACUGAGACACGGCCCAGACUCCUACGGGAGGCAGCAGUAGGGAAUCUUCCGCAAUGGACGAAAGUCUGACGGAGCAACGCCGCGUGAGUGAUGAAGGCUUUCGGGUCGUAAAACUCUGUUGUUAGGGAAGAACAAGUGCUAGUUGAAUAAGCUGACACCUUGACGGUACCUAACCAGAAAGCCACGGCUAACUACGUGCCAGCCGCCGCCGUAA
rnacentral:rRNA from 1 species